CUGAUCUUCAAAUGCAAGACUCAAGACAGGCGUAAAAAGGUCUGUUUCCUGCUUGGUUUUAAGUCCCACUGCACAAGUCACUUAACCUCUCAAUCCUUUAGAAUCAAUGAUGUCAAGCUCCAACAGAAAGGGUGGCUGCUAAUCCAUACAGGAGGAUCCCUUUGGGCUAUAUGCAGACUUAGUUUUAAAACUGUAUUUAUCCUGUUUUGGAAGGAACACUUGGGAGUAUUACAGCAUACAUGUUUGCCGCCUCUGCUCUAGAUAACCCUCCAAGACUAGAGGUUGCAGAGAAAGUCCUGGACUGUUUUGUUGGAAGGAAUUUCCUUAUCUGGACGUUUUCUGUAACAAGGAAAUCACCAUUUCAGCCCUAUCCCUUCUUAUAUAUUGUUGUAUUUUGUUUUCUUGAUAAAGUCUACCACUCUUUUAUGGA